CCUACGGGUGGCAGCAGUGGGGAAUAUUGCACAAUGGGGGAAACCCUGAUGCAGCGACGCCGCGUGAGUGAAGAAGUAUCUCGGUACGUAAAGCUCUAUCAGCAGGGAAGAAAAUGACGGUACCUGAAUAAGAAGCCCCGGCUAACUACGUGCCAGCAGCCGCGGUAAUACGUAGGGGGCAAGCGUUAUCCGGAUUUACGGGGUGUAAAGGGAGCGUAGACGGCAGGACAAGUCUGGAGUGAAAUCCCGGGGCUUAACCCCGGAACUGCUUUGGAAACUGGGCGGCUGGAGUGCAGGGAGGGUAGGCGGAAUUCGUAGUGUAGCGGUGAAAUGCGUAGAUAUGAGGAGGAACACCGGUGGCGAAGGCGGCUUACUGGAGUGUAACUGACGUUGAGGCUCGAAAGCGUGGGGAGCAAACAGGAUUAGAUACCCCAGUAGUC
rnacentral:rRNA from 1 species